rnacentral:rRNA from 1 species
CUACGUGCCAGCAGCCGCGGUAAUACGUAGGUGGCAAGCGUUGUCCGGAAUUAUUGGGCGUAAAGCGCGCGCAGGCGGAUUGGUCAGUCUGUCUUAAAAGUUCGGGGCUUAACCCCGUGAUGGGAUGGAAACUGCCAAUCUAGAGUAUCGGAGAGGAAAGUGGAAUUCCUAGUGUAGCGGUGAAAUGCGUAGAUAUUAGGAAGAACACCAGUGGCGAAGGCGACUUUCUGGACGAAAACUGACGCUGAGGCGCGAAAGCCAGGGGAGCGAACGGGAUUAGAUACCCCGGUAGUCCUGGCCGUAAACGAUGGGUACUAGGUGUAGGAGGUAUCGACCCCUUCUGUGCCGGAGUUAACGCAAUAAGUACCCCGCCUGGGGAGUACGACCGCAAGGUUGAAACUCAAAGGAAUUGACGGGGGCCCGCACAAGCGGUGGAGUAUGUGGUUUAAUUUGACGCAACGCGAAGAACCUUACCAGGUCUUGACAU